UCAGCUUGCUUUUGAGAUGACGAGCGGCGGACGGGUGAGUAAUGCCUGGGAAUUUGCCCAUUUGUGGGGGAUAACAGUUGGAAACGACUGCUAAUACCGCAUACGCCCUACGGGGGAAAGCAGGGGACCUUCGGGCCUUGCGCUGAUGGAUAAGCCCAGGUGGGAUUAGCUAGUAGGUGAGGUAAAGGCUCACCUAGGCGACGAUCCCUAGCUGGUCUGAGAGGAUGAUCAGCCACACUGGGACUGAGACACGGCCCAGACUCCUACGGGAGGCAGCAGUGGGGAAUAUUGCACAAUGGGGGAAACCCUGAUGCAGCCAUGCCGCGUGUGUGAAGAAGGCCUUCGGGUUGUAAAGCACUUUCAGCGAGGAGGAAAGGGUGUAAGUUAAUACCUUACAUCUGUGACGUUACUCGCAGAAGAAGCACCGGCUAACUCCGUGCCAGCACCGACGGGUAAUGACG
rnacentral:rRNA from 1 species